UGAACCUGUCAAACGAGAACGUGCUAUGAAAAUGGAUGAUGGGGAUUCUGGCAGCUUUAGACAGGAAAGCACUAUAAAAUCUGAACCUGUCAAACGAGAACGCACUAUGAAAAUGGAUGAUGGGGAUUCUGGCAGCUUUAGACAGGAAAGCACUUUCAAAUCUGAACCUGUCAAACGAGAACGCACUAUGAAAAUGGAUGAUGGGGAUUCUGGCAAUUUUAGACAGGAAAGCACUUUAAAAUCUGAAAUUGCCAAAAUAACAGAAAAAGGAGGGCUUUUAGAUUCUGAAGGGGUUAAGAAAUUGCUGCAGCUCAUGUUGCCGGAUGAAAAUGAGAAAAAAGUAGACUUGGCUGGCCGGUUAAUGCUUGCUAGUGUCAUAGCAGCCACAGAUAAAUUUGAUUGCCUUAGUCAAUUUGUGGUCAAGGGUGUGCCAGUAUUCGAUGAAUGGAUCCAAGAGGUUGGACAUAAAGGGAAGGCAGGUGAUGGGAAUGGACCCAAAGAUAGUGACAAAUCUAUAGAGGAGUUUCUCUUGGUUUUACUUCGGGCACUGGAUAAGCUGCCUGUUAAUCUUAAUGCUCUGCAAAUGUGUAACAUUGGAAAGUCUGUAAAUCACUUACGGAUGCAUAAGAACUUGGAAAUACAAAAGAAAGCAAGAAGCUUAGUUGAUACAUGGAAGAAACGAGUUGAAGCUGAAAUGGAUGCAAAGUCCAAUUUAAAUGCGGCUGUCUCCUGGUCUGCAAGACCACGCCUCCCAGAAGUUUCUCAUGGUGGAAACAGACAUUCUGGUGGAUCUGCUGAUGUUGCCGUGAAGAGCUCAGUCACACAGCUUUCUGCUUCCAAAUCUGCUUCAGUUAAGCCUGUCCUUGGAGAUAGUACCAAAUCUGCUUCAGUAUCCCCGGGAGCUUUGAAAUCAGUUCCCUCACCAGUGUCAGCAAGUUCUAACUUAAAAGAUGGACUGCCUCGAAUUGUUGCUGUUGGCGUCACAGUUGAUCUUCCCUCGACAACUCCAAGGGAUGAGAAAAGUAGCAGUUCUAGUCAAUCUCACAACAACAGUCAGUCGUGUUCGAAUGAUCAUGCAAGAACUGGAGGUAUGUUUGGGAAAGAGGAUGCGAGGAGCUCUACUGCUGGUUCAAUGAAUGUGAAAGUAUCGGGUGGCUCUUCCCGACCUAGGAAAUCAGCAAAUGGCUUCCCAGGACCCGCUGUCUCUGGAGUUCAAAGAGAAACCGUGUCAAGCAGAAGGUCGUCUUUGCACAAGAAUCCAGCUCCAGAAAAAUCAUCACAGCCUGGAUUGAUAAGUGAAAAGGUACUGGAUGGACCUUCUGCUGAGGGAAAUGGACCUUCUGCUGAGGGAAAUGGACCCAAGUUGAUUGUUAAGAUUCCAAAUCGUGGUCGCAGUCCUGCACAAAGUGGCAGUGGAGGUUCGUCUGAAGAUCCUUUAAAUACUAUUUGCAGAGCUGCUUCUCCCAUGCAAAAGGUUGAUGCUUAUCGAGCCACCGUUGCCGCAGAUGUGAACAACGAGUCAUGGCAAAGUAAUGAUUUCAAAGAUGUAUUGACUGGAUCGGAUGAGGGCAAUGGGUCCCCAGCUGCUGUUACUGAUGAAGAGCAUUGUAGGCCUGGUGACAAUCAUAAGAAGAUUGCAGAAGUCCCAAAAGCUGCUUCCUCGUCAUCUGGGAACGAAAAGUCAGGGAACUUGCAGGAUGCUUCCUUCAGCUCUAUACAUGCAUUAAUUGAAAGCUGUGCGAAGUAUUCUGAAGGUAAUGCCUCUUUGUCAGCUGGAGAUGAGCUUGGUAUGAAUCUGCUUGCUAGUGUUGCUGGAGAGAUGUCUAAAUCUGAAUCUCCAACUGAUUCACCUCAAAGGUCUACCCCAGUAUCUGAGCAUCUCUGCAAAGCCACUGAUUCUAGAGUCAAAUCACCUCCUGUUGAUGAGCUUGCUCGAGAUGAAAGUCUGUCUAUUGAUGGCCCUGAUGAUGAAUAUGAGAAGCAUGGUGUUGCAUCCACUACUUACGGGGCGAAGAAUGGGGUUGUCAAAUCUUCUUCCUCCCUGCCUCCUGAACAGUCUUCUGUAGCAGAGGACACUGGAAAUCUAUGCUCCUCCAGUAGAAGUUUUCAUCAGCCUGCAGAACCCACCCCAGAAAGCCAAGAAAAAUCUAUGAAAGUUAAGUUAGCUCCUUUUACUGCUUCCCCUCCUAGUACAGUUGAGAAAAUUAUGGGCGGUGAAGGAUUACCCCUUCAAGACAAAAAUGUGGUUGGUGGAGCGAGUGCUGAUGGCAGUUCAGAAAAUAAGGUCAGUGAUGUUAGUUCGAGGGUAGUAGUGGGGAAAGAAGCCAUUGAAGAAUCUUCUUUGCACCCAGAGUUUGAUGUUGAUGGUAAGAUAGAAACUUCAAGUCAUGAAGGGAGUGUUCAUACGGAGGAGAAACCAUCUAGUGUAAAGAGGCAUUCUGAGUUAGGGAAAGGAACCUGCAAAGAAGUGCUACUUUCUUCUGGUUUUCAUAAGGGUUUGAUCUCAGAAAAUGUCAGUGAACUGAAGGCUGAAAAAGAUGAUGAAAAGGAUGGCCGGAGUUAUUGUAAACAGGCUGAAAAUCACCGAAUGGAUUCAGAAAGUAAUGGUCCUGCCACUUUGAAAACAGAAAAUAAUGAUCUUACAACUCCUGAGGGUCGAGCUCUAGGUGGCUCUAAUUCUGCUGCUACUGAUAACACCGGUGAACAUGUAGAGGAGAAUAUGAAAAGUAAAGAAGCUAAUGAUCAAGUUGUUGAACCUGGUAUUACCAAUGUUUCACCUGAUAUUCCCAUGCAAGAAGUAGAGGAGUAUUUGAGGCCUAAGAGAUCUAAGUUAACCAACAUGGAAGCAGAAGAAGCUGAGGAAUGUACAUCUACAACUGCAGAUGCUUCUUCUGUGUCUGCUGCAGGGGCAGCAGAUGUGGAUGCAAAAGUGGAGUUUGAUUUGAAUGAAGGCUUUAAUGCCGAUGAUGGGAAAUAUGGAGAGCCAAAUAACUUGACAGCACCUGGAUGUUCAACAGCUCAUCGGUUGAUUAGCCCGGUUCCUUUUGCUGUUUCUUCUGUGUCUAGUGGCCUUCCUGCUUCAGUUACAGUUCCUGCUGCAGCAAAGGGGCCUUGUGUUCCACCAGAGGACCUGUUGAAGAGUAAAGGGGGGGAGGUUGGUUGGAGGGGAUCAGCAGCUACAAGCGCAUUCCGGCCAGCUGAACCCAGAAAAGUUCAAGAAAUUCCAUUGGGUACAAGUAUUUCAGUUCCCGACCCUACACCGAGCAAGAAAGGACGCCCAGCUUUAGACAUUGACUUGAAUGUACCUGAUGAAAGAAUUCUUGAGGAUAUGGCUUCUCAAAGUUCUGCUCAAGAGACAUGUUCUCUUGCUGACACAAUAAACAAUAAAACUUUUGCAGGUGAUCAAUCGAUGAGUAUUGCACCCGUUCGCAGCUCUGGAGGUCUUGACCUUGACUUGAAUCAAGUUGAUGAGGCUUCUGAAAAGUGUAAUUAUCCAUUGAGCAAUAGUCGCCGAUUGGAUAACCAAUUCCUAUCAAUAAAAUCAAGUGGACCUGUCAAUGGAGAAGUUAGUCUUCGUAGGGAUUUUGAUUUGAAUAACGGACCUGUUGUUGAUGAGUUGUGUGCUGAACCGGCAGUGUUUAGUCAGCAUAGCAGGAGUAGUGUGCCAUCUCAACCACCUGUUUCUGGUUUUAGGAUGAACAAUACAGACGUAGGGAAUUUCUCAUCAUGGUUUCCUUCAGGCAGUACGUAUUCUGCAGUCCCAAUUCCUUCAAUUAUGUCAGAUCGUGGAGAGCAACCAUUCCCAAUUGUUGCAACUGGUGGACCACAGAGGAUGUUGGGUCCCCCAAGUGGUAGCAACCUUUUCAAUCCUGAUAUGUACAGGGCGCCAGUGUUUUCAUCUUCCCCAGCAAUGACCUAUCCUUCUACUUCUUUUCCGUAUCCAGUUUUUCCUUUUGGAAACAAUUUUCCUCUGCCCUCGGCUGCUUUUCAGGGCAGUUCAGCAACAUAUCUUGAUUCAUCAUCUACCGGGAGGCUCUUUCCUGCUGUUCGUUCCCAGUUGUUAGGACCCGCUGGUGUGGUUUCGUCCAGUUACCCAAGGCCUUAUGUUGUUAAUCUUCCUGAUGGUAGCAAUAACAGUAGCGGGGAAAGCAGUAAGAAAUGGGGAAGACAAGGCCUUGAUCUCAAUGCAGGGCCUGGAGGCCCAGACUUAGACGGGAGAGAUGUGACAUCACCUCUUGUCCUGCGGCAACUAUCUGUUGUCAGUUCACAAGCCCUGGCUGAGGACCAAGCAAGGAUGUUCCAGAUGCAAGGUGGCACCUUUAAAAGGAAGGAGCCCGAGGGGGGUUGGGACGGCUAUAGACAGUCUUCGUGGAAAUAGGCGUCUCUAAUGGAAGAGUUUGGCGACUCAUGAAAGCUUGGAAAUAGAAACAGGAAGACUCCAGAAAACAGAUCCGGUGAAAGAGAAAUUGAACCAUGUAAAAGAACUAGUGCUUUGAGGAACGGCAUUUGGUAAACGAACUCGCACGAGGUCAUUGUCUAAGCUUGUGUGCUUCUGGAGGAUGGGCGGUAAGUGAGUUAUUUGAUGUUGUUCAUGGUCUCCGACCCCCUCCCCGUUGAUGUGUCAGUUGUAAUCUUGAAAGAUAAAUGAGUUCUUCAAGCUGUUUGUUCCUUGAAUUUGUCAUGGGCGGAAACGGUCUUGUUUCCGCUUUGUAGAUAUUCUAACAGUUAGAAAACAUACCGUGGUUCCCAUACACAAUCUUUGGUGCCCCUGUUGGUCUUCAAUGCAUUAGAUAUAAACUGAAAAUGAUCUUCGUCGUUGCCAAACGUCUACAUUGUCGAUGUUCAACUGCUCAAAACAGAAGCUUCUGUGUGUGGCACUGUUGGUUGUUAAAUUUAUCUUUUCGUGCUCUCGUUA